rnacentral:rRNA from 1 species
AGUGAACGCUGGCGGUAGGCCUAACGCAUGCAAGUCGAACGGCAGCACAGUAAGAGCUUGCUCUUACGGGUGGCGAGUGGCGGACGGGUGAGGAAUACAUCGGAAUCUACUUUUUCGUGGGGGAUAACGUAGGGAAACUUACGCUAAUACCGCAUACGACCUACGGGUGAAAGCAGGGGAUCUUCGGACCUUGCGCGAUUGAAUGAGCCGAUGUCGGAUUAGCUAGUUGGCGGGGUAAAGGCCCACCAAGGCGACGAUCCGUAGCUGGUCUGCGAGGAUGAUCAGCCACACUGGAACUGAGACACGGUCCAGACUCCUACGGGAGGCAGCAGUGGGGAAUAUUGGACAAUGGGCGCAAGCCUGAUCCAGCCAUACCGCGUGGGUGAAGAAGGCCUUCGGGUUGUAAAGCCCUUUUGUUGGGAAAGAAAAGCAGCAGGUUAAUACCCCGCUGUUCUGACGGUACCCAAAGAAUAAGCACCGGCUAACUUCGUG